rnacentral:rRNA from 1 species
UCCUAAGGUAGCGAAAUUCCUUGUCGGGUAAGUUCCGACCUGCACGAAUGGCGUAACGAUUUGACCGCUGUCUCAACGAUGAACGCUGCGAAUUUGUGGUACCGGUGAAGACGCCGGUUGCCCGCCAUAAGACGAAAAGACCCCGUGCACCUUUACUGCACCUUAGUAGUGAAUGUUGACGACGUAUGCGCAGCAUAGGUGGGAGACUUUGAUCCCAGGCUCUCGGGCUUGGGGGAGUCACCAGUGAGAUACCACCCUUACGCCUUCGACGUUCUAACUGAAACCCAUUAUCUGGGUUCAGGACACUGCUAGGCGGGUAGUUUGACUGGGGCGGUCGCCUCCUAAACUGUAACGGAGGCGCACGAAGGUUCGCUCAGGCUGUUUGGAAAUCAGCCAUAGAGUGCAAAGGCAUAAGCGAGCUUAACUGCGAGACCUACAAGUCGAGCAGAUGCGAAAGCAGGUCUUAGUGAUCCGGUGGUCCCGCAUGGAAGGGCCAUCGCUCAACGGAUAAAAGGUACGCCGGGGAUAACAGGCUGAUCUGGGCCAAGAGUUCACAUCGACGCCCAGGUUUGGCACCUCGAUGUCGGCUCAUCGCAUCCUGGAGCUGUAGCAGGUUCCAAGGGUCCGGCUGUUCGCCGGUUAAAGCGGUACGUGAGCUGGGUUUAGAACGUCGCGAGACAGUUCGGUCUCUAUCUAUGGUGGGCGCAGGAAAUUUGAGAGGAUCUGACCUUAGUACGAGAGGACCGGGUUGGACGGACCGCUAGUGUACCAAUUGUCACGCCAGUGGCAUCGUUGGGUAGCUAAGUCCGGAAGGGAGAAACGCUGAAUGCAUCUAAGCGUGAAACCCACCUCAAGAUGAGAUUUCCCUGGACGCAAGUCCCUGAAGGCUCCAAGUAGACCACUUGGUCGAUAGGUCGGGUGUGGAAGCGUAGCGAUACGUUCAGCUAACCGAUACUAAUCAGCCGUGAGGCUUGACCAU